rnacentral:rRNA from 1 species
ACGGGACCGCACAAGCGGUGGAUGAUGUGGAUUAAUUCGAUGCAACGCGUAAAACCUUACCUACCCUUGACAUGCCAGGAACUUGCCAGAGAUGGCUUGGUGCCGAAAGGGAGCCUGGACACAGGUGCUGCAUGGCUGUCGUCAGCUCGUGUCGUGAGAUGUUGGGUUAAGUCCCGCAACGAGCGCAACCCUUGUCAUUAGUUGCCAUCAUUCAGUUGGGCACUCUAAUGAGACUGCCGGUGACAAACCGGAGGAAGGUGGGGAUGACGUCAAGUCCUCAUGGCCCUUAUGGGUAGGGCUUCACACGUCAUACAAUGGUCGGUACAGAGGGUUGCCAAGCCGCGAGGUGGAGCCAAUCCCAGAAAGCCGAUCGUAGUCCGGAUUGGAGUCUGCAACUCGACUCCAUGAAGUUGGAAUCGCUAGUAAUCGCGGAUCAGCACGCCGCGGUGAAUACGUUCCCGGGCCUU